GCACCCGUGGCGCAAUAGGAUAGCGCAUUUGAUUCCGGUUCAAAAGGUUGUGGGUUCGAUUCCCGCCGGGUGUA
rnacentral:tRNA from 1 species